rnacentral:rRNA from 1 species
GACGAACGCUGGCGGCGUGCUUAACACAUGCAAGUCGAGCGGAAAGGCCACUUCGGUGGUACUCGAGCGGCGAACGGGUGAGUAACACGUGAGUAAUCUGCCCUUGGCUUUGGGAUAGCCACCGGAAACGGUGAUUAAUACCGGAUACGACCACUUCUCGCAUGGGAUGGUGGUGGAAAGUUUUUCGGCCAGGGAUGUGCUCGCGGCCUAUCAGCUUGAUGGUGAGGUAAUGGCUCACCAUGGCUUCGACGGGUAGCCGGCCUGAGAGGGUGACCGGUCACACUGGGACUGAGACACGGCCCAGACUCCUACGGGAGGCAGCAGUGGGGAAUAUUGGACAAUGGGCGGAAGCCUGACCCAGCAACGCCGCGUGAGGGAUGACGGCCUUCGGGUUGUAAACCUCUUUCAGCAGGGACGAAGCGCAAGUGACGGUACCUGCAGAAGAAGCACCGGCCAACUACGUGCCAGCCGCCGCCGUAAUAC